GAUGAAGAACGCAGCGAAAUGCGAUAAUUAAUGUGAAUUGCAGAAUUCCGUGAAUCAUCGAGUCUUUGAACGCACAUUGCGCCUCAUGGCAUUCCGUGAGGCAUGCCCAUCUCAGCGUUAGAAAAUAUUCUCAAAUUUUAGUUUUGUGCUAAAAUUUGGAUCAUGUCAAGGAAGCUAUUACUAUUAUUGUGAUCGCUCUUUGGAAAUUGAUAGGUCUUUGAGUUGCUACUCAUAGAACGUGAUGAAUCUUUCUUCGUUCUAUUGUAAUUCACUCUGGUAGUCCUAAAACUUGUAUGCCUGUGGCAUAUCUUGUAAUUUGACCUGAGAUUGGGUAGGGACACCCGCUGAACUUAAGCAUAUCAAUAAGCGGAGGA
rnacentral:misc_RNA from 1 species